GAGUUUGAUCAUGGCUCAGGAUGAACGCUGGCGGCGUGCCUAACACAUGCAAGUCGAACGGAGUUCUUAAGGAAUGCGGCUUCGGCCAAAUGACUUUUGAACUUAGUGGCGGACGGGUGAGUAACGCGUGAGCAACCUGCCUUUCAGAGGGGGAUAACAUUUGGAAACAGAUGCUAAUACCGCAUAAGAUUACAGUACCGCAUGAUACAGUGAUCAAAGGAGCUAAUCCGCUUGAAAGAUUGGGCUCGCGUCCGAUUAG
rnacentral:rRNA from 1 species